AACCGGACACCGUUCUAAUGCUUAAUUUUUUUUCCUCCUUUAUUCCUUCAAUCCUGCAAAUGAAUCUAAGCCGAUCUGUUACUUUAGUUGUAUUUUCUGUAACCAUUUUAGGAAAGUUCAAUUGUCUAAUACUUCAAAUGUGAAGUAACUUGUUAAUGCAGAUUUUGCUCUGGUUAAAUUAAUAAAGAGGGGGGAAACAAAUAA